rnacentral:rRNA from 1 species
CCAAGGAGUGCAAGAGGCGUGCGAGUCUUUGGGCUAGCAAACCCUCAGGCGUAAUGAGAGUGAAGGGGGCCUCUGGUCUCCGAGGCGAGAGCCCGUGUCAUUGCGGGCGCAUCGUCGACCGAUCCCAGGCUACGCUGUGGCGGGAUUCGAGUGAGAGCGUGCCUGUUGCGACCCGAAAGAUGGUGAACUAUGCCUGAAUGGGGCGAAGCCAGAGGAAACUCUGGUGGAAGCUCGCAGCGGUUCUGACGUGCAAAUCGAUCGUCAAAUUUGGGUAUAGGGGCGAAAGACUAAUCGAACCGUCUAGUAGCUGGUUCCCUCCGAAGUUUCCCCCAGGAUAGCUGGAGCCCGGUGCAGUUUUAUCAGGUAAAGCGAAUGAUUAGAGGUCUUGGGGUUGAAACAACCUCAACCUAUUCUCAAACUUUAAAUGGGUAAGAAGCUCGGCUUGCUCAACUGAAGUCGGGCGUGGGAAUGCCGGGGCUCCUAGUGGGCCAUUUUUGGUAAGCAGAACUGGCGAUGCGGGAUGAACCGAACGCCGGGUUAAGGUGCCCGAAUYGACGCUCAUCAGAUCCCAUAAAAGGU